rnacentral:rRNA from 1 species
GACGAACGCUGGCGGCGUGCCUAAUACAUGCAAGUUGAGCGCUGAAGGUUGGUACUUGUACCAACUGGAUGAGCAGCGCACGGGUGAGUAACGCGUGGGGAAUCUGCCUUUGAGCGGGGGACAACAUUUGGAAACGAAUGCUAAUACCGCAUAAAAACUUUAAACACAAGUUUUAAGUUUGAAAGAUGCAUUUUCAUCACUCAAAGAUGAUCCCGCGUUGUAUUAGCUAGUUGGUGAGGUAAAGGCUCACCAAGGCGAUGAUACAUAGCCGACCUGAGAGGGUGAACGGCCAAAAUGGGAAGGGGACAAGGCACAAAGUGAUAAGGGAGGGAGCAGUAGGGAAACGUCGGAAAAGGACGGAAGACAGAACGAGAAAGGCCGAGUGAGUGAAGAAGGUUUUCGGAUCGUAAAACUCGGUUGGUAGAGAAGAACGUUGGUGAGAGUGGAAAGCACAUCAAGUGACGGUAACUACCCAGAAAGGGACGGCUAACUACGUG